CCUACGGGAGGCAGCAGUGGGGAAUAUUGCACAAUGGGCGAAAGCCUGAUGCAGCAACGCCGCGUGAAUGAAGAAGGGUUUCGGCUCGUAAAGCUCUAUCAGCAGGGACGAAAAAAACGGCGGUACCUGAAGAAGAACCCCCUACUAACUACGCGCCAGCAGCCGCGGUAAUACGUAGGGGGCAAGCGUUAGCCGGAAUUACUGGGUGUAAAGGGUGAGUAGGCGGCAUGGGAAGUCAGAUGUGAAAGCCCUGGGCUGAACCCGAAGAUUGCAUUUGAAACUAUGAAGCUAGAGUACAGGAGAGGAAAGCGGAAGUCCUAGUGUAGCGGUGAAAUGCGUAGAUAGUAGGAAGAACACCAGUGGCGAAGGCGGCUGUCUGGACUGAAACUGACGCUGAGGCACGAAAGCGUGGGGAGCGAACAGGAUUAGAUACCCUAGUAGUC
rnacentral:rRNA from 1 species